rnacentral:rRNA from 1 species
UACGUAGGGUGCGAGCGUUGUCCGGAAUUACUGGGCGUAAAGAGCUCGUAGGCGGUGUGUCGCGUCGGCCGUGAAAACCUGCAGCUUAACUGUGGGCUUGCGGUCGAUACGGGCAUCACUGGAGUUCGGCAGGGGAGACUGGAAUUCCUGGUGUAGCGGUGAAAUGCGCAGAUAUCAGGAGGAGCACCGGUGGCGAAGGCGGGUCUCUGGGCCGAUACUGACGCUGAGGAGCGAAAGCGUGGGGAGCAAACAGG